rfam:Myotis lucifugus cont2.61081, whole genome shotgun sequence.
GGCAGUUCUCAGGUGACGCACCCCAGAAUAUCGGGCUCCCUCCUCUCUGGUUCCAGGUGCGUCACCCGAGAACUGCA